GGAGUUAGCCGGUGCUUCUUCUGCGAGUAACGUCACAGAUGUAAGGUAUUAACUUACACCCUUUCCUCCUCGCUGAAAGUGCUUUACAACCCGAAGGCCUUCUUCACACACGCGGCAUGGCUGCAUCAGGGUUUCCCCCAUUGUGCAAUAUUCCCCACUGCUGCCUCCCGUAGGAGUCUGGGCCGUGUCUCAGUCCCAGUGUGGCUGAUCAUCCUCUCAGACCAGCUAGGGAUCGUCGCCUAGGUGAGCCUUUACCUCACCUACUAGCUAAUCCCACCUGGGCUUAUCCAUCAGCGCAAGGCCCGAAGGUCCCCUGCUUUCCCCCGUAGGGCGUAUGCGGUAUUAGCAGUCGUUUCCAACUGUUAUCCCCCACAAAUGGGCAAAUUCCCAGGCAUUACUCACCCGUCCGCCGCUCGUCAUCUUCAAAAGCAAGCUUUUAGAAAUGUUACCGCUCGACUUGCAUGUGUUAGGCCUGCCGCCAGCGUUCAAUCUGAGCCAGAUCAAACUCUGA
rnacentral:rRNA from 1 species